rnacentral:rRNA from 1 species
AACGUAGGAGGCGAGCGUUAUCCGGAUUCACUGGGCGUAAAGCGCGCGUAGGCGGUUGUACAAGUCGGACGUGAAAGCCCCUGGCUCAACUGGGGGAGGCCGUUCGAUACUGUACGGCUUGAGGGUGAGAGGGGAAAGUGGAAUUCCCGGUGUAGCGGUGGAAUGCGUAGAGAUCGGGAGGAACACCAGUGGCGAAGGCGGCUUUCUGGCUCACCCCUGACGCUGAUAGCGCGAAAGCGUGGGGAGCAAACGGG